rnacentral:tRNA from 1 species
GGGGUUGUAGCUCAGUUGGAUAGAGCGAUCGCCUCCUAAGCGAUAGGUCAUGAGUUCGAUCCUCGUCAACCCUG